CUGGCGGCAGGCUUAACACAUGCAAGUCGAACGCACCGCAAGGUGAGUGGCAGACGGGUGAGUAACACGUGGGAACGUACCCCUUUGUUCGGAAUAACCCUGGGAAACUAGGGCUAAUACCGGAUACGGCCGAGAGGCGAAAGGUUUACUGCAGAGGGAUCGGCCCGCGUCCGAUUAGCUUGUUGGUGAGGUAAUGGCUCACCAAGGCAUCGAUCGGUAGCUGGUCUGAGAGGAUGACCAGCCACAUUGGGACUGAGACACGGCCCAAACUCCUACGGGAGGCAGCAGUGGGGAAUAUUGGACAAUGGGCGCAAGCCUGAUCCAGCCAUGCCGCGUGAGUGAUGAAGGCCUUAGGGUUGUAAAGCUCUUUUACCUGGGAAGAUUAUGACGGUACCAGGAGAAUAAGCCCCGGCUAACUUCGUGCCAGCAGCCGCGGUAAUACGAAGGGGGCUAGCGUUGUUCGGAUUUACUGGGCGUAAAGGGCGCGUAGGCGGGCUGAUAAGUCAGGGGUGAAAUCCCGAGGCUCAACCUCGGAACU
rnacentral:rRNA from 1 species